GUGCUCGCUUCGGCAGCACAUGUACUAAAAUUGGAGUGAUGAGAGAAGAUGAACAUGGCCCCCAUGCAAGGAUGACCUGUAAAUUCAUGAAGCAUUCCAUACUUUA
ensembl:snRNA U6 U6 spliceosomal RNA